GUAGUCCUGGCUGUAAACGAUGUCGACUUGGAGGUUGUUCCCUUGAGGAGUGGCUUCCGGAGCUAACGCGUUAAGUCGACCGCCUGGGGAGUACGGCCGCAAGGUUAAAACUCAAAUGAAUUGACGGGGGCCCGCACAAGCGGUGGAGCAUGUGGUUUAAUUCGAUGCAACGCGAAGAACCUUACCUACUCUUGACAUCCAGAGAAUUUAGCAGAGAUGCUUUAGUGCCUUCGGGAACUCUGAGACAGGUGCUGCAUGGCUGUCGUCAGCUCGUGUUGUGAAAUGUUGGGUUAAGUCCCGCAACGAGCGCAACCCUUAUCCUUUGUUGCCAGCGGUUCGGCCGGGAACUCAAAGGAGACUGCCAGUGAUAAACUGGAGGAAGGUGGGGAUGACGUCAAGUCAUCAUGGCUCUUACGAGUAGGGCUACACACGUGCUACAAUGGCAUAUACAAAGAGAAGCGACCUCGCGAGAGCAAGCGGACCUCACAAAGUAUGUCGUAGUCCGGAUCGGAGUCUGCAACUCGACUCCGUGAAGUCGGAAUCGCUAGUAAUCGUAGAUCAGAAUGCUACGGUGAAUACGUUCCCGGGCCUUGUACACACCGCCCGUCACACCAUGGGAGUGGGUUGCAAAAGAAGUAGGUAGCUUAACCUUCGGGAGGGCGCUUACCACUUUGUGAUUCAUGACUGGGGUGAAGUCGUAACAAGGUAACCGUAGGGGAACCUGCGGCUGGAUCACCUCC
rnacentral:rRNA from 1 species